GGCGGCGUGCUUAACACAUGCAAGUCGAGCGGAAAGGCCCUUCGGGGGUACUCGAGCGGCGAACGGGUGAGUAACACGUGAGCAACCUGCCCCUGACUCUGGGAUAAGCCCGGGAAACUGGGUCUAAUACCGGAUAUAACCACUGGUCGCAUGGUCUGGUGGUGGAAAGUUUUUCGGUUGGGGAUGGGCUCGCGGCCUAUCAGCUUGUUGGUGGGGUGAUGGCCUACCAAGGCGACGACGGGUAACCGGCCUGAGAGGGCGACCGGUCACACUGGGACUGAGACACGGCCCAGACUCCUACGGGAGGCAGCAGUGGGGAAUAUUGCGCAAUGGGCGGAAGCCUGACGCAGCGACGCCGCGUGGGGGAUGACGGCCUUCGGGUUGUAAACCUCUUUCAGCAGGGACGAAGCGAAAGUGACGGUACCUGCAGAAGAAGCGCCGGCUAACUACGUGCCAGCAGCCGCGGUAAUACGUAGGGCGCAAGCGUUGUCCGGAAUUAUUGGGCGUAAAGAGCUCGUAGGCGGUUUGUCGCGUCUGUCGUGAAAGCCCACGGCUUAACUGUGGGUCUGCGGUGGAUACGGGCAGACUAGAGGCAGGUAGGGGAGAAUGGAAUUCCCGGUGUAGCGGUGAAAUGCGCAGAUAUCGGGAGGAACACCGGUGGCGAAGGCGGUUCUCUGGGCCUGUACUGACGCUGAGGAGCGAAAGCGUGGGGAGCGAACAGGAUUAGAUACCCUGGUAGUCCACGCCGUAAACGUUGGGCGCUAGGUGUGGGGUUCUUCCACGGAUUCCGCGCCGUAGCUAACGCAUUAAGCGCCCCGCCUGGGGAGUACGGCCGC
rnacentral:rRNA from 1 species